rnacentral:rRNA from 1 species
CAGGCUUAACACAUGCAAGUCGAGGGGUAUAGUUCUUCGGAACUAGAGACCGGCGCACGGGUGCGUAACGCGUAUGCAAUCUACCUUUUACAGAGGGAUAGCCCAGAGAAAUUUGGAUUAAUACCUCAUAGUAUAGCAGUUUCGCAUGAAACCACUAUUAAAGUCACAACGGUAAAAGAUGAGCAUGCGUCCCAUUAGCUAGUUGGUAAGGUAACGGCUUACCAAGGCUACGAUGGGUAGGGGUCCUGAGAGGGAGAUCCCCCACACUGGUACUGAGACACGGACCAGACUCCUACGGGAGGCAGCAGUGAGGAAUAUUGGACAAUGGGCGCAAGCCUGAUCCAGCCAUGCCGCGUGCAGGAUGACGGUCCUAUGGAUUGUAAACUGCUUUUAUACAGGAAGAAACCCUGGUUCGUGAACCAGCUUGACGGUACUGUAAGAAUAAGGAUCGGCUAACUCCGUGCCAGCAGCCGCGGUAAUACGGAGGAUCCAAGCGUUAUCCGGAAUCAUUGGGUUUAAAGGGUCCGUAGGCGGUUUAAUAAGUCAGUGGUGAAAGCCCAUCGCUCAACGGUGGAACGGCCAUUGAUACUGUUAAACUUGAAUUAUUAGGAAGUAACUAGAAUAUGUAGUGUAGCGGUGAAAUGCUUAGAGAUUACAUGGAAUACCAAUUGCGAAGGCAGGUUACUACUAAUAUAUUGACGCUGAUGGACGAAAGCGUGGGUAGCGAACAGGAUUAGAUACCCUGGUAGUCCACGCCGUAAACGAUGGAUACUAGCUGUU